UACGAGUGCCCCAAGCGUUAUCCGGAAUCAUUGGGCGUAAAGGGUGUGUAGGUGGUUGUGUUAGUCUUCUGUUAAAUUCUUCGGCUUAACCGGGGGCAUGCGGAGGAAACGGCACAACUAGAGGAUGCGAGAGGUGAAUGGAACUCAUGGAGUAGGGGUGAAAUCCGUUGAUAUCAUGGGGAACACCAAAUGCGAAGGCAAUUCACUGGCGCACUCCUGACACUGAAACACGAAAGCGUAGGUAGCGAAUGGG
rnacentral:rRNA from 1 species